UUCGCAAUGCCCGAAAGGGUGACGAUGCGACGCCGCGUGAGCGAAGAAGGCCUUAGGGUUGUAAAGCUCUGUCGAGGGUUAUGAAAUGUAAACAGGUUAAUACCCUGUUUAUUUGACAAAAGCCCAAGAGGAAGUCACGGCUAACUCUGUGCCAGCAGCCGCGGUAAUACAGAGGUGGCAAGCGUUGUUCGGUAUUAUUGGGCGUAAAGAGCACGUAGGUGGUUUUGUAAGUCGGGUGUGAAAGCCUUCUGUUCAAAGGAAGAACGGCAUCUGAAACUGCAGAUCUUGAGUGUAGGAGGGGAGAGUGGAACUUCUGGUGGAGCGGUGAAAUGCGUAGAUAUCAGAAGGAACGUCGGCGGCGAAAGCGACUCUCUGGCCUAUUACUGACACUGAGGUGCGAAAGUUAGGGGAGCAAACGGGAUUAGAUACCCCGGUAGUCCUAACCGUAAACGAUGGGCACUAAGUAGAGGGGUUUU
rnacentral:rRNA from 1 species